UAGUUUGAAUUUGCCUAUUUAAGCACUAAGGGCGGUUUCAUCCUUUCCAGUAUAAUUGAUUAUGUGUGCGUCACAAAAAGCAGAAUUCACCUCUUUUCUUCUUGCUUGUCAGAAAGCGAAUCCUCUAGGACCUUCGUAUCCUUUCUUCCUCUUCCUCUGUCGAUUCUUCAUUGUUCUUCGUUUAUGAUCUUAUGAAUUUACGAAUCUGCAACUAUUUCUACCACACUUCUAGCUAGAGGGCUUGUCCUUAACACACCUGCAUUGACCACCACAACCUUUUGGCUUUCAUCACUAAGGAUCAUGGAGUAUGCCUGAUUAACCCCAGGAGUAGGGUUCAUCAUGAGUCGGCUUGCAAGCACAUUUUUUGACGGAUUUCAUUAAAUUUGAUAUCACUGUUAGAAGUUGAGAGAUUGUAAUACUCUUUUCUUUUGUUAUCAAUGCUAUAUGGACAUCUUUUUGAAUUAUGGUUGACACUACUCUUUCCUGUGCUCCACUGCUGCAAAUGUUGAUGUCGUACGCUUCUGCUACCUACCUUUUGAAAAACAUCAGAUACUUUUUGUCAAGUGCCGAUUCACACUACAAAAAAGACAGAGAAGUCAAAGUACAACACUAUGUAAAUAGCAUCAAAUGUAUGCCACAGCCGGCAGGCGUGAGACUAAUCUCCGUUCCUCGGUCAGCGCAUUUUGCGGUAGGAACUGGCCACAGAGUUUGCUCCAUUCGCCAGAGGCGGAGCUGUUGCCUCUUUAUUACGCGUGUGAUAUUGAGAACAGUGUAAAUGUGAAGUGACUAUUUGACAGAAGCUGCAACUAGCUGGACAUUGGGAAGCUUGAUUUCAGCACUAAAUAGCUUAGGGUUUUUACAUUUUCAGUGGAGAACUUUCUUUUGGAAUGAAAUGAGCCUGAACGCAGCAAAAUGAGUAUAGAGGAUUUAAUUACAGACAACUAUUCGGGGAUAGUAGGAUUGAGGUGUAGAGUGGUUGAUUAAGUUAAGUGCUUUCAGCCAAGAGGAGUUGUUGGUUGAGUUUGAAAAAAGGAAUCAUAUUAAAACAAGUAUUUGGAGGCUAUCUGAAUUCUUACUCUUAAAUACUUCUCCCUCCGUUUCAAAAAGAAUGACCUACUUUGGCUUGACACAAAGUUUAAGAAAAUAAAGUUGAUUUUUGAAUAGUUGUGUCAAAUGUACCAAAAUGUCUUUUAAUCUUGUGGCCAUAAACAUGCCAUGUGGAAAGUUGAAAUUAAAGUAUUACCAAAAAAGGAAAAGGGUCAUUCUUUUCUAAAUGGACUAAAAAGGAAAGUAAGUCAUUCUUUUUUAAACGGAGGGAGUAUUAGAAUUACUUAAUAUUAUAUCAUAAUGGGCUUUGAACCAUUUGAAGGAACAUACUCUAUAGAACUUGCGAUUUUUACCAAAAGAUAUAACAAAGCUAAUAAAGUAGAAGUUAUGCUAUUCAACUUGGUAAAAGUUACUUAUCAGUAAUGAAUUACAAAAAGUUACCAAUCUUGUUUACCUUUAACCAAGACUAAGAUGGUUCAAGAAAACACUGUUCCUUAAGCUUGGCCAUGUUCCAAUUCUUGGCUGGAAAAUCAUUAAUUCGUCUGAAUUACAUGACCAGCAAUUGCAUGAAAGAGGAUUGGAUGAAUUAUUUAUAGUAAGUUACAUAAUACAAACUGAUACAUAAUUUGACAUAAUUUCUGCUCCUGAAAAUCCUGUAGCACUUAAGAGUGCGCUGAAUAUUCAUUCAGCUUAACUUUCAAAAGUAAGUCACGGAUAAAGUUGUGUAGAUAGAGUUGAUACACACAGUGAAAUAGUUAUAGCAUAUUUGCUUUUUCCAUUUAUAAAUUGAGCUGAAAUUACUUUUAAAUUGUUGCUCCUUCACAGGUAAAUACGAGUGUAAAAGAUUUAUCUUACUGUACUACAGAACAGAUUUUAUGGUAAGAUAAAGUGAUUGCCUUCCAAGUUGAUGAAGUAAAUCUUGGAAGUUGGAAGCUGCGACAAAGUUCAAGUCUUGCUCUCUUAGUAGAGACGCAACUACUGCACAUAUGAAGGACAACCAGUAAUCAAAGUUAUGGAGGGAAUGGAAUAAAGCAGAUAUCUCUCACACAGGAAAUCAGCCUGUACCAAAGAACUUUAGCCCCUCCAAUUAACCAAUUAACUAGUAUCAGGGAACCAACCUCAAUUACAAUCUUUUCUAUAUGGUACUGGCACAUUCGCAAAAAAAAAAAAAAGAAGUUCAACACUGAUGUAACAUAACUGUGUUAGCUUCUUCACCAAUACUGAAAAUAUUCAACUCUUACACAAAAACUUCAACCAAAAAAUGACAUUACAUUUUGCUACACAUUCCUGUUAAACUUUUCAUUUUCCCGUAUAAACUGCUCCUUCAAAAUACUGUUCUUCUCAAUUUUACUGUGCAACAGGUUUCAUCGCAGGCCAAGGAUGCACAACUUUUUGUUAUCUAUGUAAAUACAAUGUAUAUAAUCUCUUGUAAAACUUGGCUCCAUGAUAAAUACUAUGAAGUAAAUCGUUUGUCCUGCACAUUGAUGCAUUAAAUUUCUGCACAUUGAUGCAUUAAAUUUAAUUUUUUUUUA